rnacentral:rRNA from 1 species
UGGGGAAUUUUGGACAAUGGGCGCAAGCCUGAUCCAGCCAUBCSGCGUGCAGGAUGAAGGCCYUCGGGUUGUAAACUGCUUUUGUACGGAACGAAAAGCUCUGGGUUAAUACCCUGGGGUCAUGACGGUACUGUAAGAAUAAGCACCGGCUAACUACGUGCCAGCAGCCGCGGUAAUACGUAGGGUGCGAGCGUUAAUCGGAAUUACUGGGCGUAAAGCGUGCGCAGGCGGUUAUGUAAGACAGAGGUGAAAUCCCCGGGCUCAACCUGGGAACUGCCUUUGUGACUGCAUAGCUAGAGUACGGCAGAGGGGGAUGGAAUUCCGCGUGUAGCAGUGAAAUGCGUAGAUAUGCGGAGGAACACCGAUGGCGAAGGCAAUCCCCUGGGCCUGUACUGACGCUCAUGCACGAAAGCGUGGGGAGCAAACAGGAUUAGAUACCCUGGUAGUCCACGCCCUAAACGAUGUCAACUGGUUGUUGGGUCUUCACUGACUCAGUAACGAAGCUAACGCGUGAAGUUGACCGCCUGGGGAGUACGGCCGCAAGGUUGAAACUCAAA